UGAGGAAUAUUGGGCAAUGCCCGCAAGGGUGACCCGGCAACGCCGCGUGGAGGAUGAAUGUCGUAAGAUUGUAAACUCCUGUUAGAGGGGAAGAAUAGUACCGGUUGGACCGGUAUAUGACUGUACCCUCAGAGAAAGCCCCGGCUAACUACGUGCCAGCAGCCGCGGUAAUACGUAGGGGGCAAGCGUUGUCCGGAUUUACUGGGUGUAAAGGGCGCGCAGGCGGGAUAAAAAGUCAGUGGUGAAAUCCUACAGCUUAACUGUAGAACUGCCUUUGAUACUUUUAUUCUUGAGUUCGGGAGAGAGAGACGGAAUUCCAGGUGUAGUGGUGAAAUACGUAGAUAUCUGGAAGAACACCGGUUGCGAAGGCGGUCUCUUGGUCCGACACUGACGCUGAGGCGCGAAAGCGUGGGGAGCAAACA
rnacentral:rRNA from 1 species